rnacentral:rRNA from 1 species
CGGGGGGGCAGCUACACAUGCAGUCGAGCGGAACGAGUUAACUGAACCUUCGGGGAACGUUAACGGCGUCGAGCGGCGGACGGGUGAGUAAUGCCUGGGAAAUUGCCCUGAUGUGGGGGAUAACCAUUGGAAACGAUGGCUAAUACCGCAUAAUAGCUUCGGCUCAAAGAGGGGGACCUUCGGGCCUCUCGCGUCAGGAUAUGCCCAGGUGGGAUUAGCUAGUUGGUGAGGUAAUGGCUCACCAAGGCGACGAUCCCUAGCUGGUCUGAGAGGAUGAUCAGCCACACUGGAACUGAGACACGGUCCAGACUCCUACGGGAGGCAGCAGUGGGGAAUAUUGCACAAUGGGCGCAAGCCUGAUGCAGCCAUGCCGCGUGUAUGAAGAAGGCCUUCGGGUUGUAAAGUACUUUCAGCAGUGAGGAAGGUGGUGUCGUUAAUAGCGGCAUCAUUUGACGUUAGCUGCAGAAGAAGCACCGGCUAACUCCGUGCCAGCAGCCGCGGUAAUACGGAGGGUGCGAGCGUUAAUCGGAAUUACUGGGCGUAAAGCGCAUGCAGGUGGUUUGUUAAGUCAGAUGUGAAAGCCCGGGGCUCAACCUCGGAAUUGCAUUUGAAACUGGCAGACUAGAGUACUGUAGAGGGGGGUAGAAUUUCAGGUGUAGCGGUGAAAUGCGUAGAGAUCUGAAGGAAUACCGGUGGCGAAGGCGGCCCCCUGGACAGAUACUGACACUCAGAUGCGAAAGCGUGGGGAGCAAACAGGAUUAGAUACCCUGGUAGUCCACGCCGUAAACGAUGUCUACUUGGAGGUUGUGGCCUUGAGCCGUGGCUUUCGGAGCUAACGCGUUAAGUAGACCGCCUGGGGAGUACGGUCGCAAGAUUAAAACUCAAAUGAAUUGACGGGGGCCCGCACAAGCGGUGGAGCAUGUGGUUUAAUUCGAUGCAACGCGAAGAACCUUACCUACUCUUGACAUCCUCAGAAGAGACUGGAGACAGUCUUGUGCCUUCGGGAACUGAGAGACAGUGCUGCAUGGCUGUCGUCAGCUCGUGUUGUGAAAUGUUGGGUUAAGUCCCGCAACGAGCGCAACCCUUAUCU